rnacentral:rRNA from 1 species
GACGAACGCUGGCGGCGUGCCUAACACAUGCAAGUCGAACGGAAAGGACCUGCUUUUGUGGGGUGCUCGAGUGGCGAAAGGGGGAGUAACACGUGAGUAACCUGCCCUUGACAUUGGGAUAAAAUCAGGAAACUGGGGCUAAUACAGGACAGGAGCUUCUGCUGCACGGUGGGGGUAGGAAAGUUUCGGCGGUUGGGGAUGGACUUGCGGCUCAUCAGCUUGUUGGUGGGGUAGUGGCUUACCACGGCUUGGACGGGUAGCCAGCCUGGGAGGGUGACCGGCCACAUUGGGACUGAGAUACGGCCCGGACUCCUACGUCAGGCAGCAGUGGGGAAUAUUGCGCAAUGGGCGGAAGCCUGAUGCAGCAUCUCCGCGUGCGGGAGGACGGCCUUCGGGUUAUAACCCGCUUUCGCCUGUAACGAAGCGUGAGUGACGGUAAUUGGUAAAGAAGCACCGGCUAACUACGUG